rnacentral:SRP_RNA from 1 species
AUAGCGGUGCCCUGUACCUGCAAUCCGCUACAGCAGGGAUGAAUCCCGGCCCCCGGAGGCAGACUGUGCCGUCUGCCCCAUAUAAGCAGCGAUGAUGGACCGGUCCCGCGCAACGCUCACCCGUGAACCGUGUCAGGCGGGGAACCGAGCAGCACUAAGCGGACCUGGGCGUGUGCCGCGGGCGCGCCGGUCCUGAGCCGGCUGUAUGGGUAACGGGCAUAUCCUGUCCUUCAAAGGCCGGUGCGCGG